UACGUAGGGUCCGAGCGUUGUCCGGAAUUACUGGGCGUAAAGAGCUCGUAGGUGGUUUGUCGCGUUGUCCGUGAAAACUCACAGCUCAACUGUGGGCGUGCGGGCGAUACGGGCAGACUGGAGUACUGCAGGGGAGACUGGAAUUCCUGGUGUAGCGGUGGAAUGCGCAGAUAUCAGGAGGAACACCGGUGGCGAAGGCGGGUCUCUGGGCAGUAACUGACACUGAGGCGCGACAGCGUGGGGAGCAAACAGG
rnacentral:rRNA from 1 species